UAACGCGAAGAACCUUACCAACCCUUGACAUCCUGUGCUACAUCCAGAGAUGGAUGGUUCCCUUCGGGGACGCAGUGACAGGUGCUGCAUGGCUGUCGUCAGCUCGUGUCGUGAGAUGUUCGGUUAAGUCCGGCAACGAGCGCAACCCACAUCCCUAGUUGCCAGCAUUUAGUUGGGCACUCUAAUGGGACUGCCGGUGAUAAGCCGGAGGAAGGUGGGGAUGACGUCAAGUCCUCAUGGCCCUUACGGGCUGGGCUACACACGUGCUACAAUGGUGGUGACAGUGGGCAGCGAGAUCGCAAGAUCGAGCUAAUCUCCAAAAGCCAUCUCAGUUCGGAUUGUUCUCUGCAACUCGAGAGCAUGAAGUUGGAAUCGCUAGUAAUCGUAGAUCAGCAUGCUACGGUGAAUACGUUCCCGGGUCUUGUACACACCG
rnacentral:rRNA from 1 species